GCGAGAGUGGCGGAAUUGGUAGACGCGCUGGACUUAGGAUCCAGUCCGGUCUUCGGGUGGGGGUUCAAGUCCCCCCUCUCGCACCA
rnacentral:tRNA from 1 species